rnacentral:rRNA from 1 species
AUUGAACGCUGGCGGCAGGCCUAACACAUGCCAGUCGAACGGUAACAGGAAGCAGCUUGCUGCUUCGCUGACGAGUGGCGGACGGGUGAGUAAUGUCUGGGAAGCUGCCUGAUGGAGGGGGAUAACUACUGGAAACGGUAGCUAAUACCGCAUAAUGUCGCAAGACCAAAGAGGGGGACCUUCGGGCCUCUUGCCAUCGGAUGUGCCCAGAUGGGAUUAGCUUGUUGGUGGGGUAACGGCUCACCAAGGCGACGAUCCCUAGCUGGUCUGAGAGGAUGACCGGCCACACUGGAACUGAGUCACGGUCCAGACUCCUACGGGAGGCAGCAGUGGGGAAUAUUGCGCAAUGGGCGCAAGCCUGAUGCAGCCAUGCCGCGUGUAUGAAGAAGGCCUUCGGGUUGCAAAGUACUUUCAGCGGGGAGGAAGGGAGUAAAGUUAAUACCUUUGCUCAUUGACGUUACCCGCAGAAGAAGCACCGGCUAACUCCGUG